rnacentral:rRNA from 1 species
GUCUAUGGUGAUACCACCCUGAACGCGCCUGAUCUCGUCUGAUCUCAGAAGAUAAGCAGGGUCGGGCCUGGUUAGUACUUGAAUGGGAGACCACCUGGGAAUACCAGGAGCUGUAGGAU